CACUCUCUUCUAACGAGUGCACACGGUUGCAUUAGCGGAUAUGGUAGCGAUUAUUUUUAAAAGACUUGUAAAGAAAGUAAAGCUGCUUUCAAACUAACAACAGAGAAAGUAGAAAAAAACAUUUGUGCGUCUUUCACUCCGUGAAUGCGUGGUUUCUUCGAAGAAAGAUACUCUAAUAUAAAAGCUUAUUAGCAUCGAAAUUGCAGAUGUUGCUCCUUGCUCCGCUGGUCUGUCGACUAAUAAAGUUGUCUUUGUGGUGGUUGUGAAGUGAAAGUUGCUCCUUGGUUGGAGAAGCUGCUGGGUAAGUAAAGUUCCACUUUGUGACCAAUCCAGCACCACACUUCAUAAGACAACAUCAAGUUCAGUCUCUCCAAGCAAGCUGACUCCAAGCGGAUAUCACCACCAAAAGUGCCCUCUGCUAAAUUAAGCAGCCCUGCUGUUCGCAUAUAAAUAUCACUGUAUGUAGAUCGCCUUAUCCUAUAAGUACUUGCACUCGUAUACAAUUUGUUCUAUUUUCGUUGGACGAUAUCGAGAGAAUAUUUGAGAAAAUUUCUAAAGUGAUAUGUAUGAAGAGAGGACAUGAUCAUGUGCAUGCUAUAUACAUAUUAUCUAUCACAAACGAGCAAUGCAGGGAAGGACGCAGUGGUACGUAGAAUAUCUGUAUGCAUACAUAGGUAUAAUAAUUACUUAGAAAUUAGAAGGGAGUCUCUCACCACGGAAUUUAAUUACUUGCUCAACCACCCACCAAUACUCCAUCAUUAAGAGAGCUCAGGACAAUGAACAACUUCCUCGACCAGCAAACCAGCCAACUCGAGCUUGCUCAACUAACUUGUGUUGGUAGAGUGAAAGUGAAGUGCAAACUGGAAAUGCUUCAGUCUUCACUACUGAAAUUCUACAAGUUUUAGAAUAUUUGGCCAGUCCAGAAGAAUUAGGAGGAAAGUUUUGCCCGAUGUGUUAGUGGUGGCACUUUCAUUAGUUUGGCAGCUUUUAUGCACGUCCAUUGGUUAUACUAAUAAUACACACUAAAGACCAAUGAGGUCUGUAGUUGAGCACAAACAAAGUAUUAAUUUUUGUGUGCCUAGAGGUCACUUGAACACGCGUCUGUUGUUGAUACUGGAUGAAAUACACAAGACGAGGUCAGGUGGAUACUUGAAAUGCUACGAAAACAAAUUUGAAGCUCAAAGAGGAAUUUAUUCAGAUCCAGCAGCAGAGAGAUGAAACACAAAGCAAUAAGUGUUCUACAAUGUUAUUCACCAUCUAAAUUCUCUCAACUCAAAGGACGGAAAUUUCGAACCUGGUUUAAUUAAAGUUUGGAUAGAAAGUGGAAAGAAUAAAGGAGAGAGAAAGUACUAUUUUGACUUUGUAUAUGUCUUCCCGUCCUCCAAAACCUCUUCGUUCGAUACGCAGCACAGAACUGGGAACUGGAACAUGUUUUGAAAAUCGUUGGUGCAUAUAAAAUAAAUUUGGUGAACUACCAGGUUUUCUUCUCGUCUCGUGCAUAUGAUGGUGGAUGUGUAACUUUGUAUUGAAAUUGAAUAGCUGCUGCUCUUUCGCUGCUGAGAAGACAAAAGAAUUCAAUCGUGGUGGAUUGGAGCGCAGUGAUACCCAAGGAUCUAGGACAUAUUUUGACAAUUAUGGGGUGUGAUGUCCAUGAUGUGGGUGGGUAUUUGGAAGGAUGUCCUGAACGACCAAAGAUUGCGGGCUUAAAAUCCCUACGAACGGCAAGAGUCCUGAAGCAAGGAAUGGUCCUUACGAUCGAGCCCGGCUGCUAUUUUAUUGAUCACUUUUGACCAAAAUGCCACACCUAAACAAGUCAACAAUGAAAAUCUUCCUGCUUAAAUUGUCCAAAUGGAUGGAACCUACAUUCAGCAUGCUCGAUUUAAUGCCGAGAAGGGGAGAAUUUCACACAUGUUGCAACAAUGUGAUAUGCCUGUUUUGAUCUCUAUUUGCUUACCAUCAUCAUCAUCAUCAUCAUUGUGCCGUGUUUUGUAAAUAUCUAAGUUAGCACGUGUACACAAAGGAUCCAAUAAAU